rnacentral:lncRNA from 1 species
UCAUCAUUUGAAAUAUAAGAAGGAAUCGUACUGUUGGCUCAUCCAAUGCAUUAUGUCAAUUUUUGUGUUGUUCUGGAGUUGCACCACGGUCGACAGGUAAUUUUAUUUUUUUUCAAAAUCUAUUCGAAUUGAAAAUCUAAAAUAGUUACAAAAUCUAUUAUAAAAAUGUAAAUUAUGUAGCCAAUAACAGGUUUACAUGUCUCUUUGUGCUGUUGUGGAGUUCCACCAUGGUUGACACUUGACAGGUAAUUUAUUUAUUUUUUUAAAAAAAUACACUAUUGGAAAUUGAAAAUUUAAAAAUAAUUAUAAAUUUUAUUAUAAAAACGUGUUUUGAAAAUUUUGUAGUCAAUAACAGGUUUACAUAUUUCUACAUGGUUGUUUUAGAUCCCUUAUGUCUAUUCUGUUUUAGUUCUUAAAAUGUUUGUGUUUAACUCAAUAACAUAAUAACAAACAAUAAACUUCGCAAGCAUGAAAGCUCCUUUGCUAUACCAAGCCAUAGUUAACAUUCUAUUAUUUACCCUUUUUUUUUUUGAAAAGUUAAUUCUAUUUUUUUGGGCUUUUUUUCUGCUUCAAUUUAAAAGGUACGAAAAAACUCUACUAAUAAAUAUAAAAUUACUUAUCUUUUGAGCGAGGAAACACAUAUAAUUUAUUUGAAAUAUUAUUCUUGAUUUAUUUUUUUCCUUUUGGAAUAUGUUUUCAUUUAAUUUCUACUAAUAGUUUUUUCCUAAAUAAUUUUCUUUUGCAGUUUAUUUUCCAAGAAUGCUAUUUAAUUUUUUAUAAACCUUUUUUGCUAAUAUUUAUCAAAAAAAAUAAUUAAAACUACUAUGAUAUGAAUAAUCAGUAUAUAAAUACUAAUAUCAGCCAAAUAAAAAAUAAUGAGUAUUAUAUAAAGUUGGAUAUGAAUUCAUGGGUGAUCUGACAUUUCUUUGGCUAAAAUUACAUUUAUCUUCUUUUUUUCUUUAUUUUUAUGUGUUAAUGAGACGAUGAAUGACACAAUUAUUAGUACUCCUACUUUAAAUUUUUCCUUAUUGCACAUUUUAUGUGUUGCUUAUUGGUCCAUUUCUUUUUCACUCUCAAUAGACUUUUGCCCGUUAUUUAAUUACAAUUAAUACAUUGAAUAUUGAUUCCAUUAUAACUCCUAAAUGUACAUAUUUAUUUUAAUUAUUUCUGUAAUUAUUUAAUAUUUGUAACUCAUUUAUUGUGAUUGAGUCUUUUUAUCUUCAUUUUGCUUAUCUGCAUUUUUAUCAUAUUUUGAUGGAGAUAUUCAAUUGUUUAGCCUUAGAAAAAGAUGAUAAAGACUUCUUCAAGUGAAGAAUGAAGACAAAAGUUGCAACUAGCUAAAAAUUUGCAAAUGAUGUCAAUAACGGGUGAAUAGGUAAAUCUAGAAUACAUUUUUGAUGCCCGUGGAAGAAUUUAUGUAUUUGUAAUUUCUUUGGACAAAAACAGUUACUUCAAUGUAAUUAAUUCUAUUUAUCCUAUUUUUAAUUAUUGUUUUGGUGAUUUAUUAAUAUGUUAUUUUGACUAAUAAUAAUAUUUUUGAUCUCCAC